CCUAACUGAAUAUUUAAGAUUCUGUAAUGUUCUCUAGAUGAUGUUCUAAACUCCAGAUGUCAAUGAAUUCAGGCAAAAAGAUUUCAUACCCAGACAAAAGCAACUUAGUGGAGGAUCUAAAGUGAUUAUAAAAUGACCCGUGAAAUGCUGGGAUACAAGUCAGAAGUUGAUAUUCUGUCUUGAUGAUCUGUCUAGUGCUAUCAAUGGAGUGUUGAAGAACCCCACUAGUACUGUGUUGACGUCUAUCACAUUUCUCAGUUUUAUGCAUGAGAAAACUGAAGCAAACAGAGGACGUGAAACUUGCCUAAGAUUUCAGAGCUAUUAAGAAGUGGAUGCCAGAAUACAACUCUAGUUUUGAGCUCCAUGAGGACAAACAUCUUUGUAGGAGGAGAUGACAUGGAGGUUGAGGACAUGGGGUGGUGAGAGAGGCUGAGGAACCCCACGGAGGCAAGGGCCCAGACGACGAGGCUGUGUAGAGAUGGAGAGCUGUCACAACUCAAUGAUACAACCCAUACUACAGCACUCAGCAAUGCAGUCUUUGACCAAAUGUAAUCCCUCCAUAAAAUGUGAGAUUUUAUUGGGGUUUUUGGAGGAGGCAUCCAGAGAACAGCACCCUUCUUUUCCACCUGGAUUCUUAAAAAGUAGUUGGGAAAUAAAUAAAAAGUAGCAAAUGGGGG
rnacentral:lncRNA from 1 species